rnacentral:lncRNA from 1 species
UUCCAGACCCUUCUUAAAUAUUAUCGUGUAUACCAGCUUUAUUAUUUAGCUCUGCAAUACUGCUAAAUUGGUCAAUUACUUCCCUGCCUCCCCACCCUCCAACUGAAUUCUCACCACCCUUGAGGGAAAACAGUCUGGGUUCCCUGUGGAACAUCAUUUCUCAAAACUGUAUUUUGGGGCUUGCUUUCUCAUUUUUCCUUUCCAUUUCAGAUAUCCUUACUGCUGUCUUUGGGCUCUUUAAACACUGCCUUUUUUCCUUUUUCGAUCACACCCAAAAACUUUUCUCAAAAAUUACAUGUAAAUUUAAAAAUUUACAAAUUAAAUUUAAAAUUGAAAUUUUAAAAAUCCCGACUCUCCCUAAUUUCAGGAAGCAUGCAUUUAUUAUACAUAACAAGACGUGAAAGCCGCAAGAGUUUCAGCCUAAACACUGAAGACCCCGCGAAGUGAAUCCAGCUGCUGCUCUACAAGCAGCAACAACAACUGGGAAGCCUUCUCAGCUACACUUCGGGGCACUGGUCCAACCCCACGCAAAAUCCCUCGUUUCCCUUAGCGUGGUAAGACGGAGCCUGACCUGAGCUCCAACUGUCCUAUCUUUUUCAAAUGUUUCAAACUUACUGCCUUUGUUCAGCAGAACCACGGGCACGGUGAUGAUGGUGACAAGCGCAGCAGCACCCAGCAGUCCCAGAAGAACCUUCCACGGUGUCUGCAAGCCGAGCAGAUCAAGUCCAAUUAGAGGGAAGCGUGUGGCCCCAGUUUCCGUAGGAGGGUCGGGGCUGCUCCAGAGGCAGCAGGAUUUGCAGCUUUUGGGCCAUUUGGGGAGUUUGGCGAAGAGGUCCCCACAGCUCGCCCCGGGGACGUACGUGGCGCGGCACUCACCUUCAUCGUCGGCGUCUCCUCGGAAGUGAGCGUUCAGAGAAGGAGCGCAGGCAGAAGUCACCGCGGGCGGCGGAGACGCGCGUCCUGCACCGCUGCUCCGGGCGGUGGAGUCACUCGCCGCUGGAAGGAAGACUGUACACAGAGAAUAAAUAACUUGGCCAAGCCAUUCAGCUAGGAAGUUGUAGAUCCUAAAUUAAGAGUUCAAGGUCUUAAUGGCUACUCUAUGCGGCCUCUCAUAGUCUUUUCAAGGGUUUUGGAGAAGAAUAAAAGAUCAGUCAUCCACAGAUGUUUGAGUGGUUACAAUGUGCCAGCCUCCCUUCUAGGUACUGGAGAUAAAGUGGGACAAGAGAGGUGAGGUCUGGACCCUUGGCACUUUCACGAUAAAAUACACAGGUAAACAUUUGCCUUUAGGGCCCCCUGUGAUUACUUCCACUCUUGCAGAUAAGAGGAUAAGGCCUCUUCAGCUUGUUCACAGCAGCUGAAAAGCAAAGCCUCUCUGUCAGUAGAGGUAAAAGAUUAAGAAUGCAGAGUCCGAUGGGGCAUUACCACAUGAUUAUGAAUUAAUGCAAUUUUCCAUCUUUUAUUUCCAAUCCAGGCAUUGCUUUUGAACUCAGUCAUCUUUUCCCCCUUGCCCACUAGUUGCUUGUGAUACAUCAGUAUCCUCACUCACCCCCAACUCCAGAGGCUGAAACUAACUCUCCUCCUCCCUCUUCCAACUGCUGAGGAAGAUGAGUCAAUGGUGUUACUGGACCCUGUGAACUGAUGCUGUGAAGAGAGGCCAUUUAACACGGACUACGGGGAAUGGUGCCACAGGGGGCUCAGUGCUGCCCUUCACUCUCAGCAUUUUGCUCACUCAGCAUUGAUGACAGGAUGUCCCAAAAGUAACAAAAGAUGGGAGCCAGUCCUCUCAUAGCUGUUUCUUCAAUCAUCCCAUCAACAGCUCUUCAUUUAUUGAACUACCUUCCUUUUCCAAAGAGGUAAUGCUGAGAUCAGUCAGAAAGGCUUUCUGAGAAA